UAUUGCGCAAUGGAGGAAACUCUGACGCAGCGACGCCGCGUGAGCGAUGAAGGUCUUCNGAUCGUNANGCUCUGUCCUUGGGGCANCAGGUCUUCGGACUUGACGGUACCCAUGGAGGAAGCCCCAGCUAACUACGUGCCAGCAGCCGCGGUAAUACGUAGGGGGCAAGCGUUGUCCGGAAUUAUUGGGCGUAAAGGGUGCGUAGGCGGCCUUUUAAGUCAGAUGUGAAAGCCCACGGCUCAACCGUGGGAUCGCAUUUGAAACUGGAGGGCUUGAGUAUCGGAGAGGGUAGUGGAAUUCCCAGUGUAGCGGUGAAAUGCGUAGAUAUUGGGAGGAACACCAGUGGCGAAGGCGACUACCUGGACGAUUACUGACGCUGAUGCACGAAAGCUAGGGGAGCAAACA
rnacentral:rRNA from 1 species